UAAUCAGCUGGGACUUAGAUACCCACGUAGUCCACGCCGUAAACGAUGGUCACUAGCUGUUCGAACUUCGGUUUGAGUGGCUAAGCGAAAGUGAUAAGUGACCCACCUGGGGAGUACGUUCGCAAGAAUGAAACUCAAAGGAAUUGACGGGGGCCCGCACAAGCGGUGGAGCAUGUGGUUUAAUUCGAUGAUACGCGAGGAACCUUACCAGGGCUUAAAUGUAGAUUGACAGGACUAGAGAUAGUUUUUCCUUCGGGCAAUUUACAAG
rnacentral:rRNA from 1 species